rnacentral:lncRNA from 1 species
CCGCUUUUUUGACAAAAUCAAACCGAAAUACUAGAAAAUCAUAUGGCAAUAAUGCAUCUCGUUUUCCCUUAAAGACCUUGCGAACAUAUAACAACAUAUGGAAUGAGGCAGUUGUAAGAACAUGAUAGGUCCAAGUUUAUAUCAACAUCUGGAGGUUGAUUAGUCAUUCGUGUAACUGCUAUUGUUCCUGAAUCAUUAUCUGGA